GAACUUUCAUCAGAUUUUCAAAAAUGCCUGUGACACACAAAAAAGGAUAGGAACCACUGACAUAGUAAAUCAUCAACAAGUUUACUGGAAAUUUUUGCUUGCCAGGUAGACUGCCUAAUGAAGCAGAAGGUCAUGAGAAAGUCAUUCUCCUUCUCUGACUUGCGUCUCCCUGGAGAACUACUGCCGGUAGCUACUGGGACCUCCUUCCCUAGGACUGGCACUGAGUGUCCCUGGAUCCAGCCCCGAAUGAGGCUCAAGUCUAGGCAAGGAGCAAGCUCAGGAAAUCACGUAAGAGCCCCAACACGGGGAGACCAGACGUCUGCCUUUGAUGCAGAGAGAGAUAAUAGGUCUGGCUGGCAGGAUCGGGGGUGGAGUUUUGAGCGGCGAGGCUGGAAUGGUGGACAAGGGCCAGUUGACCAGGGUCACUGA
rnacentral:lncRNA from 1 species